rnacentral:lncRNA from 1 species
GGAGUUGCUUCUUCAACCCCUCAAUAGUUUUGUCCUCCUUAAUUGCUUUUUCUUCAAGAUUUUUCUUACAAUCUUGCUCCGCUUUAAAUCCUUCUUCCAAGGAUUUUUUAUUCUCAUGAAACCAAACCAAAUGCUCGUGGAGCAAUUUAAGGUACAUCGCCUAUUGGGAGGAUCCCUUACGAGUGCGGAAUACAGAUCCCCUACCCA